rnacentral:rRNA from 1 species
AUUAAGUUGGGGGUGAAAUCUCCGGGCUCAACCCGGAGCUCGUUCUCAAAACUGGUAGACUUGAGUAAGGUAGAGGCUGACGGAAUUCUGCAAGUAGGGGUAAAAUCCGUUGAUCUGCAGAGGAACACCAAAAGCGAAGGCAGUCAGCUGGGCCUUUACUGACGCUGAGGGACGAAAGCGUGGGUAGCGAACGGGAUUAGAUACCCCGGUAGUCCACGCCGUAAAUGAUGGAUACUGGACAUUGGUACUCGAUCGUAUCAGUGUCUCAAGCUAACGCAUUAAGUAUCCCGCCUGGGGAGUACGGUCGCAAGAUUAAAACUCAAAGGAAUAGACGGGGACCCACACAAGCGGUGGAGCAUGUGGUUUAAUUCGACAAUAAGCGAGGAACCUUACCAGGGCUUGACAUCCCGAGAAUUCUUUAGAAAUAGAGAAGUGCCUUUAUGGAACUCGGUGACAGGUGCUGCAUGGUUGUCGUCAGCUCGUGCCUUGAGGUGUUCGGUUAAGUCCGUAAACGAGCGCAACCCUAGUCCUAUGUUGUAUAUUUCAUAGGAGACUGCCUUGUCCAACGAGGAGGAAGGUUAGGAUGACGUCAAAUCAGCAUGGCCCUUAUGUCCUGGGCGACACACGUGCUACAAUGGUCGGUACAAUGGGUAGCCAACCCGCGAGGGGGAGCCAAUCCCAUCAAAGCCGGUCCAAGUUCGGAUUGGAGGCUGCAACUCGCCUCCAUGAAGU